UGACAUGGUUAUGUACUAAUAGUUUCGU
rnacentral:sRNA from 1 species